rnacentral:rRNA from 4 species
GUUUGACCUCAAAUCAGGUAGGGCUACCCGC